CUUACUCUGGGAGACCAUAAGGUUUCCUAAAGAGAUGGGUUUUAAGGUACUUCUUGAGAAGAUUGAAGACUAGGGGACAGUCUGAUGGCGGUAGGCAGGCUAUUCCAUAGGAAGGAAGCCAUCCACGAGAAGUCCUGCAAGUGUCAGUUGGCCGUAUGGGUGCGAGCAGAGGACAGGAGAAGGUCAUGGGCAGAGCGGAGACACCAAGAAGGGGCAUACCUAUGGAUCUGUGAGGAGAUAUAAG